rnacentral:rRNA from 1 species
AUUGAACGCUGGCGGCAGGCCUAACACAUGCAAGUCGAGCGAGCGGCGGACGGGUGAGUAAUGUAUGGGGACUGCCCGAUAGAGGGGGAUAACUACUGGAAACGGUGGCUAAUACCGCAUACUAUCGGAUAACCCAUAGGGGAUUAGCUAGUAGGGGGGGUAAAGGCUCACCUAGGCGACGAUCUCUAGCUGGUCUGAGAGGAUGAUCAGCCAAAAGGGGACUGAGACAAGGCCCAGACGCCUACGGAGGCAGCAGUGGGGAAUAUUGCGCAAGGGGUGCAACCCUGACGCAGCCAUGCCGCGUGUAUGAAGAAGGCCUUCGGGUUGUAAAGUACUUUCAGCGAGGAGGCGUUACUCGCAGAAGAGGCACCGGCUAACUCCGUGCCAGCAGCCGCGGUAAUUC